CUACGGGGUGCACCAGUGGGGAAUAUAGCACAAUGGGCGCAAGCCUGAUGCAGCCAUGCCGCGUGUAUGAAGAAGGCCUUCGGGUUGUAAAGUACUUUCAGCGGGGAGGAAGGGAGUAAAGUUAAUACCUUUGCUCAUUGACGUUACCCGCAGAAGAAGCACCGGCUAACUCCGUGCCAGCAGCCGCGGUAAUACGGAGGGUGCAAGCGUUAAUCGGAAUUACUGGGCGUAAAGCGCACGCAGGCGGUUUGUUAAGUCAGACGUGAACUCCCCGGGCUCAACCUGGGAACUGCAUCUGAUACUGGCGAGCUUGAGUCUCGUAGAGGGGGGUAGAAUUCCAGGUGUAGCGGUGAAAUGCGUAGAGAUCUGGAGGAAUACCGGUGGCGAAGGCGGCCCCCUGGACGAAGACUGACGCUCAGGUGCGAAAGCGUGGGGAGCAAACAGGAUUAGAUACCCUAGUAGUC
rnacentral:rRNA from 1 species